rnacentral:lncRNA from 1 species
UCUAGCAAUUAACGGGCAGAUAAUAAAAUGAGAGUGCAAAAGGUGUUGGUUGAUCCUUUGAUGUUUUAUUAGAACUAAUUGCAUAAAAUUAAGAUAAGUACUCACUUUCGUAGGAAGCAUGAUUGCACUUAGCACGUGCAACAAGCCGUUAAACCCCUAGGUUACCCUAGUGGACGAGUGUUGUCUCGUGAGGGUUUUCAGGGAUGUUACCCACAAACAUCAUGAAUUAUAUGACAUUAGAUUCUAAUAAAA